rnacentral:rRNA from 1 species
AUGAACGCUGGCGGCGUGCCUAAUACAUGCAAGUCGAGCGAACAGACGAGGAGCUUGCUCCUCUGACGUUAGCGGCGGACGGGUGAGUAACACGUGGAUAACCUACCUAUAAGACUGGGAUAACUUCGGGAAACCGGAGCUAAUACCGGAUAAUAUAUUGAACCGCAUGGUUCAAUAGUGAAAGACGGUUUUGCUGUCACUUAUAGAUGGAUCCGCGCCGCAUUAGCUAGUUGGUAAGGUAACGGCUUACCAAGGCAACGAUGCGUAGCCGACCUGCGAGGGUGAUCGGCCACACUGGAACUGAGACACGGUCCAGACUCCUACGGGAGGCAGCAGUAGGGAAUCUUCCGCAAUGGGCGAAAGCCUGACGGAGCAACGCCGCGUGAGUGAUGAAGGUCUUCGGAUCGUAAAACUCUGUUAUUAGGGAAGAACAAAUGUGUAAGUAACUAUGCACGUCUUGACGGUACCUAAUCAGAAAGCCACGGCUAACUACGUG